rnacentral:rRNA from 1 species
UAUAAUGUGGGGCAGACAGACGAGUGAAUACGUAGGGUUGAAGGCUUAAUUGGAGUGACUAGGCGUAAAGCGGACGCAGGUGGUUGGAUAAGGUAGAUGGGAAAGCCACUGGCUCAGCCUGGGAAUUGCAUUUAAAACUGUCCAGCUGGAGUCUUGUAGAGAGGGGUAGAAUUCCAGGUGUAGCGGUGAAAUGCGUAGAGAUCUGGAGGAAUACCGGUGGCGAAGGCGGCCCCCUGGACAAAGACUGACGCUCAGGUGCGAAAGCGUGGGGAGCAAACAGGAUUAGAUAGGCCGGUAGUC